CACAUCGUGAUGCUUAUUUUAUCCAGGAGUUCUAGGUAAGACCACUUUUUCAAAUAUCCUCUGAACGUUGACUUAGGUGCACACACCUGUGCUUCCAUUGGCAACAAAAGCUUUGAAUGCACAGGACUUCCACGGCAUGAAAUGCAUUUACAUACAUUACAUAAGAGAGAAGCAAUGAGCAAGUCUGUUGCUGGGAGAGGCUCACAUCCUUCUCACCAAAUCAAUCUGUAACUUUCAAAUAGCUCUGCUGUAUUUCCUAGCAACAGGAGUAAACACUGUACUACAUCCAGUGCCCAAGAUUUGUAACCACGUUAAUCUGUUAGAAGCCUAGAUGUGUGACUGGAGAUGCCUCCUGUCCAUUCAAUCUGACUCCAAUGUGGUUCUGCAGCACUGGACAAAGAUGGGAGAUUGAAACAGGAGCCCCUGCGAUGGGGGAACAGAGCCAGGGAGCAGGGGUUGGACAGAACCCAGGUUUGAGAAAACAACCUUGUGAACCUUCUAUUGGAGCAGCAAUAAAGAUCUGAGCUAAGUGUCGAGGGAGGCUGAGGAGGUGGUCACUAAGUCUGUCUUAGGCAUCCCAGGGUCUCCUCAGAGUCCAAGCCUGAAGUCCACUGCAGGGGUCACCAGCCACCUGUGGCCACAUUGGAAUGUGGCCAUUCUGAAUUGAGCUUUUAAAACAGAUUUUUUAACCUGGAGUCCAAGGAGUCCCAGGAAAUCCACAGACGAGAUUCAAUGGAUCCUUGAAAUCCCUAAAAUUAAAUACAAAGCGGGGUAUGUGUGGACAUCUUUUCUCUUCAAGGAAAGAAUCCAUAGCUUUCAUAUGAUGCUCUUAAGACUCUCAGACUGAAAACAGUUUAAGAACUAUUGAGUUUCUGUGGCUUCCAAAGUGUUUAGCUCCUUCUAUUUAUCUAUGGAAUAGCUCUGUGAAUGACUCUCAAAACCAAGCUUUUCUGUGCCUCCUCAAGAGGCCUGCAUUUUAUAUGCAGCAGUACAACUUCCUUCCAUAAGACGCUUUUAUUUUCUGGCAGCAGCAGUAUCACAGGAAGAUGACUGGAAUUUAUAAGAUUGAUGACCAAAGAAGGCAGCUAUAAUGUUUUAUUCUCAAGAUGAUGGUUACUCAUCUUAGAAUAAAAACAACAACAACAAAAAAUAACAGAUGAAUGGGAAGAGCCCAAUCAAAGCUUUAUUCUACUCCUCAACAACUCAGAAAGAGCAAGCAGGCAGCGGUGAGGAGGAUGGAUUGAAAGCUGAGAGACUGAAGGCAGCAUUUGUAGAGGUGACUUGGGAAGAGUGAAACAUGAAAGGAAGUGGAGCAGGAGGUCUUGGUGACUGAUUAGGUGGAGGAAGAAAGGGAGAAGGUCAGAUCGAGAUCAUUCCCAGGUCUCUGGCUUGGAGGUGUAGUGAGAGGAUGAUAUGCCUGUCAGGGAAAACAGGUGUUAUAGUAUUUAAUAGAUAUCUGCUGUUUCUGCACGCACAGCAUCUCCUAUCUCUUCUUUUCAAUAUUUCCUUUUAAAAACUACCCCUUCCCUGCUCUCAGGUUAUAUGGUUUAGAAGAGUUUUGCUGACUAGUCUCCCAUGUACUUCCUUCACUCCCAUACACUCCUUCCCACCUGCCGUCACACAUACCACUCUCCCCUUCCAAAAGCCUCCAGGACUGGGCUCAUAAUCAAAGCUGAGUCAAGUGGCAUGGUCCAAAUCUCCGGCCAUAGGGUCUGGUUCAAGCAUAUGCAUGUGAUCAAAGUGGUCUAAUUAAAGUUAAUCCUGAAUUCUCUUUUUCUCAGGAGUUAAGCCUAAAGCUGCAGAUGAAAAUUUUGCCACCAUGAAGAAAAGAAGAAAUCAGAAUUGGAUUCUUUCUGAACUUUUCCUUUACAGUAGCCAGUAUAUGCCCUUUCCUACUUGAGCAAGUAUAAACUGGGUUUCUGUGAUUUGCAACCAAGUGUCCUGACAAACACAAGGAUGAAAGACAACUGUGUCUCAAUAAAGGAAAAAUAGUUUAUUUUUAUGAGUGGUGGAUUUAAAAAACCUACAUUACUGUGACAAGAGUACCUUAAAACAUUUAAGUCUACAAAAGGCACUUAGGGACUUUAUAGCAAACUCUACACUUAUAAUGAAAAGCCAGACCAGAUCAUUUUAAAAAAACGUUACUGCACGAGAUAAUGGCACAUCCACUCGUUCAAUUAACAUUUAUUGAGUGUCUUCAGGGGUUUUAGACUUGUGCAAUAAAAAUGAUAAAAACGUAUUCUUUGGUUUGAGCUGGUCCAUCCAAGGUCGUUCCAUAAAGAGCAGCUGUGUAUGCUGUUCAGACUAAUUGUGUGAAGCUGGAGAGGCCAGGUGUUUCUGUCUGGCCCAGCAGCUGCACUUUGCGGUAAGGGCACCACCUGAAUUUCAGUCUGGCCAUAAAAUGAGGCUGAAGAAACAGCACCUUGCAUGAGCUUUUAGGUGAAAGGCAGAACAG
rnacentral:lncRNA from 10 species